AUGAGGACUUAUUUUGACACUUAUAGAGAGGAAGGGUUUGAUUCUAGUGUGAUCAUUGCCAAAGAAAUCGCAGCUGAAAUGGGUGUAGAGCCAUCAUUUCCAGUAAAGCGUCGUGUUUCUAGGAAGAAACAAUUUGAUGAAGAUGACAAUGAUGAAGCGAUAUUGGAAGCUGAGAAGGAUUUUAAAGUCAAUUAUUUUUUGAUUAUGGUUGAUAAGGCGGCCACUUCACUGAAAAUUAGAUUUGACGAACUUGAGUCAUUCAAAAAUAUAUUUGGAUUUUUAAUGAGUUCAACGGCCUUGAAGUCAUUGGACCGUUCUGAACUUAAAGACAGUUGUACAAAAUUUGCAAGUGCUUUCUCUUCGGGUGGUUCAUCUGAUGUUGAUUUAAAUGAUCUGAUUUCUGAGUUAAUUGUUAUGCAGUCAACUUUGCCCGAUAGAACAAUGUCCGCUAUGGAGAUUUUUGAGUUUGCAAGGGAAGCUGAUUGUUAUCCAAAUAUUGCUAUUGCAUAUCGGAUUUUCUUUACUAUGCCUGUUACUGUGGCAUCAGCUGAAAGAAGUUUUUCGAAGUUGAAAUUGUUGAAGAACUACUUGAGAUCUACAAUGUCGCAAGAGAGGUUAAAUGGCUUGGCAACUUUAUGCAUCGAGAAAAAUUUGGUUGAUGAAAUUGACAUUGAUACUAUCGUUAGUGAUUUUGCAUCUCAGAAUGUUAGAAUAAAAUUUUGA
rnacentral:rRNA from 1 species